AACGAACGCUGGCGGCAUGCCUAACACAUGCAAGUCGAACGAGACCUUCCGGUCUAGUGGCGCACGGGUGCGUAACGCGUCGCAAUCUGCCCCUGGGUUCGGAAUAACACUUGUCACAGAGUGCUCAUACCGGAUGAUGACGUAAGUCCAAAGACCUAUCGCGCAGGGAUGAGCCCGCGUAGGAUUAGCUAGUCGGAGGGGUGAAGGCGUACCCAGGCGACGAUCGGGACCUGGUCUGAGAGGAUCGCCAGCAAAGCUGGGACUGAGACACGGCCCGUACGCCUACGGGAGGCAGCAGUGGGGAAUAUUGGAGAAUGGGCGAAUGCCUGAUCGAGGGAUGGCGCGUGAGUGAUGAAGGCCUUAGGGUUGUGGAGGUCUUUUACCCGGGAUGAGGGUGACAGUACCGGGAGAAUAAGCCCCGGCUAACUCCGUG
rnacentral:rRNA from 1 species